rnacentral:rRNA from 1 species
UACGUAGGGGGCAAGCGUUGUCCGGAAUCAUUGGGCGUAAAGCGCGUGUAGGCGGCCAUGUUAGUCCGUUCUGAAAGCCCGGGGCUCAACCCCGGGAGGCGGAUGGAUACUGCAUGGCUCGAGUCCGGAAGAGGCGAGUGGAAUUCCAGGUGUAGCGGUGAAAUGCGUAGAUAUCUGGAGGAAUACCGGUGGCGAAGGCGGCAUCCUGGACCGGCAUUGACGCUGAGGGAGCGAAAGCCAGGGGAGCAAACGGG